rnacentral:rRNA from 1 species
UUGGGUAGGGGAGCGUUCUGUAAGCCUGUGAAGGUGGCCUGUGAGGGUUGCUGGAGGUAUCAGAAGUGCGAAUGCUGACAUAAGUAACGAUAAAGCGGGUGAAAAGCCCGCUCGCCGGAAGACCAAGGGUUCCUGUCCAACGUUAAUCGGGGCAGGGUGAGUCGACCCCUAAGGCGAGGCCGAAAGGCGUAGUCGAUGGGAAACGGGUUAAUAUUCCCGUACUUGGUGUUACUGCGAAGGGGGGACGGAGAAGGCUAUGUUGGCCGGGCGACGGUUGUCCCGGUUUAAGCGUGUAGGUGUGUGUUCCAGGUAAAUCCGGUUCACUUUAACACUGAGGCGUGACGACGAGGCACUACGGUGCUGAAGCAACAAAUGCCCUGCUUCCAGGAAAAGCCUCUAAGCAUCAGGUAACAUCAAAUCGUACCCCAAACCGACACAGGUGGUCAGGUAGAGAAUACCAAGGCGCUUGAGAGAACUCGGGUGAAGGAACUAGGCAAAAUGGUGCCGUAACUUCGGGAGAAGGCACGCUGACACGUAGGUGAAGUGAUUUACUCAUGGAGCUGAAGUCAGUCGAAGAUACCAGCUGGCUGCAACUGUUUAUUAAAAACACAGCACUGUGCAAACACGAAAGUGGACGUAUACGGUGUGACGCCUGCCCGGUGCCGGAAGGUUAAUUGAUGGGGUCAGCGCAAGCGAAGCUCCUGAUCGAAGCCCCGGUAAACGGCGGCCGUAACUAUAACGGUCCUAAGGUAGCGAAAUUCCUUGUCGGGUAAGUUCCGACCUGCACGAAUGGCGUAAUGAUGGCCAGGCUGUCUCCACCCGAGACUCAGUGAAAUUGAACUCGCUGUGAAGAUGCAGUGUACCCGCGGCAAGACGGAAAGACCCCGUGAACCUUUACUAUAGCUUGACACUGAACAUUGAGCCUUGAUGUGUAGGAUAGG